GAAGAAAAUUAAAACACUGAAAUUGAAAAAACAAAAGAAGACAGGAAUUAUCCUAAAUUUGCCCAAGAAUCAGGGUUACGACUUACGAAUCGAAUAAUUGAUCAUACCAUUUUUCUUACAGGUGUCUAUUAUGUGUAGAUUGGUAUCCGGUGAAGACAAUCUACCCGAUGAACUCGAGUUUCAUGAAGGCAUUUUAAAUGAAACUGACAGAAUGGAUCCAGAAAUCCGUUCCCAAAUUGCCCGUUUGGAAGCAAGGAUAACUAGGGUUGAAGCUCGGAUGGAAAAGCUCGAGACCAGUGUUGCAUAUCUGCGAAGGCGGAUGUAUGUCUAUGGCUUUGUCUGUCUGAUAUCUGUCUUGUAUGUGAUAUUCAAAUAAAUUCUAGUAUGAUUAGUUCAUUUUUCCAAUCUUGUGUGUGUAGUAAUGUACAAAUGUAGUGAUUACUAUCUUGUAAUGUUAGACGAAUGAAAAUUAAAAUGAUCAGACAGAUUAGUUA